GGGGCUGACUGGUUUUGACAGCGUGUAGAGGUGGUGUGUAAGCGUGCAGAGCAAUGAUGGCUACGCUCUAUAAUCAGGGACAUCAGCAAUUUUAAAUGGCGAAAACAACUACGCUCUUGCUGCCUAAUCGAAGUACAGUAGAUUACGCUUAAUCCCCGCAACAGUUGCAGGGACAAGACAUCGUCCGGUGGCCAUUUUUCCGAGGCUUACCGAUAUGGCGGUGCUCAUAAUUCGGAAAUAGGAAGCUGAAAGCUCCGACAGGCUUCCGAAGUUUCAGGAGAUAAGGAGUCGUUUGGUGGUUCCAUACCUGGCGGUUCACGAAAAUCAAUUUGGAAAUACGCACGUAGAAAGCACAUUAGUUCCGCGUUUGGACGAGGGUUCAAGUCCCUCCAGCUCCACAA
rnacentral:tmRNA from 1 species